GGGCGGCGUGCCUAAUACAUGCAAGUCGAGCGAACGGACGAGAAGCUUGCUUCUCUGAUGUUAGCGGCGGACGGGUGAGUAACACGUGGAUAACCUACCUAUAAGACUGGGAUAACUUCGGGAAACCGGAGCUAAUACCGGAUAAUAUUUUGAACCGCAUGGUUCAAAAGUGAAAGACGGUCUUGCUGUCACUUAUAGAUGGAUCCGCGCUGCAUUAGCUAGUUGGUAAGGUAACGGCUUACCAAGGCAACGAUGCAUAGCCGACCUGAGAGGGUGAUCGGCCACACUGGAACUGAGACACGGUCCAGACUCCUACGGGAGGCAGCAGUAGGGAAUCUUCCGCAAUGGGCGAAAGCCUGACGGAGCAACGCCGCGUGAGUGAUGAAGGUCUUCGGAUCGUAAAACUCUGUUAUUAGGGAAGAACAUAUGUGUAAGUAACUGUGCACAUCUUGACGGUACCUAAUCAGAAAGCCACGGCUAACUACGUGCCAGCAGCCGCGGUAAUACGUAGGUGGCAAGCGUUAUCCGGAAUUAUUGGGCGUAAAGCGCGCGUA
rnacentral:rRNA from 1 species